AGCAGUGUGGCAUAGUGGCUUGAGUGUUGAACUAGAGCUCUGGAGACCAGGGUUUGAUUCCCUGCUUGGCCA